rnacentral:rRNA from 1 species
GUAGGGAAUUUUGGACAAUGGGCGCAAGCCUGAUCCAGCAAUGCCGCGUGCAGGAAGAAGGCCUUCGGGUUGUAAACUGCUUUUGUACGGAACGAAACGGUCCUGGUUAAUACCUGGGGCUAAUGACGGUACCGUAAGAAUAAGCACCGGCUAACUACGUGCCAGCAGCCGCGGUAAUACGUAGGGUGCGAGCGUUAAUCGGAAUUACUGGGCGUAAAGCGUGCGCAGGCGGUGCUGUAAGACAGGCGUGAAAUCCCCGGGCUCAACCUGGGAAUUGCACUUGUGACUGCAGUGCUGGAGUACGGCAGAGGGGGAUGGAAUUCCGCGUGUAGCAGUGAAAUGCGUAGAUAUGCGGAGGAACACCGAUGGCGAAGGCAGUCCCCUGGGCCUGUACUGACGCUCAUGCACGAAAGCGUGGGGAGCAAACAGGAUUAGAUACCCCUGUAGUCC